rnacentral:rRNA from 1 species
CGUAGCAAUACGUCAGCGGCAGACGGGUGAGUAACGCGUGGGAACGUACCUUUUGGUUCGGAACAACACAGGGAAACUUGUGCUAAUACCGGAUAAGCCCUUACGGGGAAAGAUUUAUCGCCGAAAGAUCGGCCCGCGUCUGAUUAGCUAGUUGGUGAGGUAACGGCUCACCAAGGCGACGAUCAGUAGCUGGUCUGAGAGGAUGAUCAGCCACAUUGGGACUGAGACACGGCCCAAACUCCUACGGGAGGCAGCAGUGGGGAAUAUUGGACAAUGGGCGCAAGCCUGAUCCAGCCAUGCCGCGUGAGUGAUGAAGGCCCUAGGGUUGUAAAGCUCUUUUGUGCGGGAAGAUAAUGACGGUACCGCAAGAAUAAGCCCCGGCUAACUUCGUGCCAGCAGCCGCGGUAAUACGAAGGGGGCUAGCGUUGCUCGGAAUCACUGGGCGUAAAGGGUGCGUAGGCGGGUCUUUAAGUCAGGGGUGAAAUCCUGGAGCUCAACUCCAGAACUGCCUUUGAUACUGAAGAUCUUGAGUUCGGGAGAGGUGAGUGGAACUGCGAGUGUAGAGGUGAAAUUCGUAGAUAUUCGCAAGAACACCAGUGGCGAAGGCGGCUCACUGGCCCGAUACUGACGCUGAGC